CUUCAGCAUCGCUGCAGCAAAACCCUAGAUCCGACGGCUCCCCUUGUUUCCUUGAUGAAUUUCUUGAUUUUCUUCUUGAUGCUUCUUUUAUCCGAGAGAGACCUGAGUUUGUUUCUUUUUAUUAUUAUAUAUAUAUAUAUAGUCUCUCUCUCUCGACAUGGCCAUUUCUUCAGUUUGUUUGUGGCCAUUUCUACAUGUAUUUCUUUCUGCAGCAUUGUAUCCUUCUAAAGGGUUUCUGUCAGAAUGGUGGUCGUUAUUUUGGAGUGUAUACUCUACUCAUUGCACAAAUCAUGCUGAAGCAGUAGAAGACUCUUCAUCAAAGGUUUUGCUUAAUAUAAAUUUGUUUAACUGCCGUUCUAUCUCUGUCCAAAUUCUACAAUUAUGCCAGGUUUUUCGUACUUGUCUGGCAACUCAGAAUGCUGGAAGUGUGUCUCAGAAUGUUAAUUCUGUUAUGCUGGACCCAGAUGUCGAUUAUAUUUUACAGACUCUAUGCCCCACAGUGCAAAUGCCAGGACUUCGUAGUAUGCUACAAACUCUCAGUCCAAGGCCAGAUAGAGGAAAUUUACAGCAAAGUGAUGCUUCGAGAAUGAUGCCAAGGCCAAUAUUAGAACCUCCUAUUUCAGACUUCAGUAUAAGGCCAGGACAGACUUCAAGAAGCUUGAUAACUGCACCAAUAUUUGAGCAAGAGUGUCUUGUUGUGUAUCUUGUGCUGUAUUACCGUCUGUCUGUUUCUUAAGGUGAAGGUACAAAAGGAAAAGCAUAAAAGAACUGCACAAACAGCUUCACAAGUGUAAUGAGCAACUGCAACAGUUCAG